UACGUAGGGUGCAAGCGUUGCCCGGAUUUAUUGGGCGUAAAGGGCGCGUAGGCGGUCGACCAAGUCUGGGGUGAAAUCUUUCGGCUCAACCGGAAAAGUGCCCCCGAUACUGGCCGGCUAGAGGGAGAUAGGGGCAUGCGGAACUUCCGGUGGAGCGGUGAAAUGCGUAGAUAUCGGAAGGAACGCCGGUGGCGAAGGCGGCGCUCUGGACCGAGACUGACGCUGAGGCGCGAAAAGCUAGGGGAGCAAACGGGG
rnacentral:rRNA from 1 species